UCCGAUUUGUCACCGGCAGUCUCCCAUGAGUCCCCGACCGAAUCGCUGGCAACAUGGGACAGGGGUUGCGCUCGUUGCGGGACUUAACCCAACACCUCACGACACGAGCUGACGACAGCCAUGCAGCACCUGUCUUACGGCUCCCGAAGGCACACCUCCAUCUCUGGAGGCUUCCGUACAUGUCAAGGGUAGGUAAGGUUUUUCGCGUUGCAUCGAAUUAAUCCACAUAAUCCACCGCUUGUGCGGGUCCCCGUCAAUUCCUUUGAGUUUUAACCUUGCGGCCGUACUCCCCAGGCGGUCAACUUCACGCGUUAGCUUCGUUACCAAGGAAUUGCUUCCCCGACAACCAGUUGACAUAGUUUAGGGCGUGGACUAC
rnacentral:misc_RNA from 1 species